rnacentral:rRNA from 1 species
GGAGGCUUUGAAGCGUGGACGCCAGUUCGCGUGGAGCCAUCCUUGAAAUACCACCCUGGCAUGCUUGAGGUUCUAACUCUGGUCCGUGAUCCGGAUCGAGGACAGUGUAUGGUGGGCAGUUUGACUGGGCGGUCUCCUCCUAAAGAGUAACGGAGGAGUACGAAGGUGCGCUCAGACCGGUCGGAAAUCGGUCGCAGAGUAUAAAGGCAAAAGCGCGCUUGACUGCGAGACAGACACGUCGAGCAGGUACGAAAGUAGGUCUUAGUGAUCCGGUGGUUCUGUAUGGAAGGGCCAUCGCUCAACGGAUAAAAGGUACUCCGGGGAUAACAGGCUGAUACCGCCCAAGAGUUCAUAUCGACGGCGGUGUUUGGCACCUCGAUGUCGGCUCAUCACAUCCUGGGGCUGAAGCCGGUCCCAAGGGUAUGGCUGUUCGCCAUUUAAAGUGGUACGCGAGCUGGGUUUAGAACGUCGUGAGACAGUUCGGUCCCUAUCUGCCGUGGACGUUUGAGAUUUGAGAGGGGCUGCUCCUAGUACGAGAGGACCGGAGUGGACGAACCUCUGGUGUUCCGGUUGUCACGCCAGUGGCAUUGCCGGGUAGCUAUGUUCGGAAAAGAUAACCGCUGAAAGCAUCUAAGCGGGAAACUUGCCUCAAGAUGAGAUCUCACUGGGAACUUGAUUCCCCUGAAGGGCCGUCGAAGACUACGACGUUGAUAGGCUGGGUGUGUAAGCGUUGUGAGGCGUUGAGCUAACCAGUACUAAUUGCCCGUGAGGCUUGACCAUAUAACACCCAAACA